GCACCUGAGUUCAGCUCCCAUUACUGGAAAUCCAUUUUCUGCUUUUUUAAGGUUAGGUGUGUACCUUCAGCCUUGCCCCAGGCCUCUGGUUGGUUCUGUGCUGGGCUGGGAAUGUGCUGGCAGUAAUGGGGGCACCUUCCUGCACCUGCCCCUGCCUGUGCACCUGCAGACCCAUGAUGGAGCCCUGGACUUGUUCCACUUCUCUCACUUAGGAAACCUGCUGUCAGUUUCCACUGCACAGUCCCUGUCCCUAAGUCUCUGAUUGCUCAGGUUCAGCUCUGAUUCCAGAACACGUGGGUUGGGCUUUGCUCUGCCGCUUUGCACUUUCUGACCCGAGGUGAGUUUUGAAGUAUAUCUUUGACUUGGUUGUGUGAUCAGGAUGCUGGACCUUUCUUCCUCUCCUGGGCUGUUGUUUUUCUAAGUUAGUGUGUGUAAAGCAUUUAGAGAAACAUGGGCACAUGGGAGUGUCACCCCCGAGUCUCUGUCCUUGCUUCCUUACCAUGCUGUUGAGAUUCUGCUGUUGUCAAUCAGGGUGGACUUGUCUUCUCAGGACACAGGUCAUACUCUGGCUCACCUAGACCCAGAGUAUCACCUACUGUGUGGACACAGCUUUCUUUUUAUAGACACAGCCUGUGUUGGUCUUUCAUUUGCGUGUUUCUUUCCUCUGAUUUUUUAAAAAUGGGAAUUGAAUGGAGGCCCCUCUAAGUUGAGUUUCAUACCCAGUCCUGUUUUGUUUGUUUUUUGUUGUUGUUUUUGUUUUUGUUUUUAAAUAGACAGGGUUUUACUAAGCUGCUGAGCCUGGCAUUGAACUUGUGACCCUCCUCCCUCAGCCUCCCGGGUCUGGGAUAACAGGGUCUGCUGACAUUCAGGGAUGUGGCCAUUGAAUUCUCCCAGGAGGAGUGGAAGUGCCUGGUUCCUGCCCAGAGGGUGCUGUACAGGGAGGUAAUGCUGGAGACCCACAGGAACCUGGUCUCCCUAGGAUGCUGAAACAUUGUGGAUUCCAGACAGAUUGAUAUGUCACUACAAUGAGCCCUAUUCGAAGGAGGAAGAACGAAAUGUAUUGAAUCCCUUACCAACCCAAUCAGAUGGAUGAAGAUGGGCUAGUAUUUAAGAUGAAAAAGUUGCACCUUGCACAAUCACUUGCAACUCACAACUCAGACCUGCUGACUUGGGGACAAGUGAAACACCUGACUGUGGCAGCUGAACACAUGGUGAACAG